rnacentral:rRNA from 1 species
CGCUGAACUUAAGCAUAUUAAUAAGCGGAGGAAAAGAAACUAACCAGGAUUCCCCUAGUAACGGCGAGUGAAGCGGGAUGAGCUCAAGCUUAAAAUCUCUGUGCCAGUUUGGCAUGGCGAAUUGUAGUCUAUAGAGGCGUUGUCAGUGCAGCUGUGCGGGGUAAGUUCCUUGGAAGAGGACAGCAUCGAGGGUGAUACUCCCGUUUGUACCUGUGCGGCUUGCGCGUACGACACGUUUUCUUCGAGUCGCGUUGUUUGGGACUGCAGCGCAAAGUAGGUGGUAAAUUCCAUCUAAAGCUAAAUAUUGGUGCGAGACCGAUAGCGAACAAGUACCGUGAGGGAAAGAUGAAAAGAACUUUGAAAAGAGAGUUAAAGAGUACCUGAAACUGCUGAAAGGGAAGCGAAUCGUAUCCAGUGUCUAUAAUCUGCGGCAUAUUUCAUUGGCGGCGGUGCGCGUGCUUUUGCGUCGGAAGCGGCUUUUGUUGCUCUGUGCUUUUGCUGUGCGUGUUGUUGCUGGUGCCCUGUGUUGCGGUGGGACGUCAGAGUCAGUUUGUAUGCUGCGGGAAAUGGCUGCCGAGGAGGUAGGUCGAGAUUUCGGUCUUGGCUGUUAUAUCUUGGUGGUUUGUUGUCGUGGUUGAGACUGAGGUGCCUACAAUGUGCUUUUGAGUGUACCGGGUUCUCAUUUGGUGGACUGUUUGGAUAGCUUGCUAUGCUUGUGGUUUUUUCAUCGGGUGAUUGAGUCUGGUGGUAACUUAUUGCCGUUCGGACUUGACGAAAUGGAGCGAUUCGGCCCGUCUUGAACACGGACCAAGGAGUCUACCUGUGUGCAAGGUGUUAGGGUGUGGAAACCCGAGCGCGUAAUGAAAGUAAAGGGUGGCUUUAGCUGCCUGAGGUAGKAAACCUUUGUUCUCAGAGGUGGCACUAUCGACCGAUCAAGAACCUUCGUGGUGAAAGAUUUGAGUAUGAGCACAUAUGUUGGUACCCGAAAGAUGGUGAACUAUGCCUGAGUAGGGUGAAGCCAGGGGAAACUCUGGUGGAAGCUCGUAGCGAUUCUGACGUGCAAAUCGAUCGUCAAACUUGGGUAUAGGGGCGAAAGACUAAUCGAACCAUCUAGUAGCUGGUUCCCUCCGAAAUUUCCCUCAGGAUAGCAGCAACUUAUUUACGAUAGUUUUAUGAGGUAAAGCGAAUGAUUAGAGGACUGGGGGAAGCAACUUUCUCCACCUAUUCUCAAACUUUAAAUCUGUAAGACCUGCAGGUUUCUUAAUUGAACUUGUGGAUGUGAAUAUCAAGUUGCUAGUGGGCCAUACCGGGUAAGCUGGUCUGGCG